UACGUAGGGUGCAAGCGUUAAUCGGAAUUACUGGGCGUAAAGCGCGCGUAGGCGGCUUUGCAAGUCGGGUGUGAAACUCCCCGGGCUCAACCCGGGAACUGCGUCCGAUACUGGCAGGCUCGAAUCCGGGAGAGGGAUGCGGAAUUCCAGGUGUAGCGGUGAAAUGCGUAGAUAUCAGGAGGAACACCGGUGGCGAAGGCGGAUCUCUGGGCCGUAACUGACGCUGAGGAGCGAAAGCAUGGGGAGCGAACAGG
rnacentral:rRNA from 1 species